rnacentral:rRNA from 1 species
GACGAACGCUGGCGGCAUGCCUAAUACAUGCAAGUCGAACGAGUGGCGGACGGGUGAGUAAUGUCUGGGAAACUGCCCGUUGGAGGGGGAUAACUACUGGAAACGGUAGCUAAUACCGCAUACCAUCGGAUGUGCCCAGAUGGGAUUCGCUAGUAGGGGGGGUAACGGCUCACCUAGGCGACGAUCCCUAGCUGGUCUGAGAGGAUGACCAGCCACACUGGAACUGAGACACGGUCCAGACUCCUACGGGAGGCAGCAGUGGGGAAUAUUGCACAAUGGGCGAAAGCCUGAUGCGGCCAUGCAGAGGGAAUGAAGAAGGCCUUCGGGUUGUAAAGUACUUUCAGCGAGGAGGCGUUAAUCGAAGAAGAAGCAUCGGCUAACUCCGUGCCAGCAGCCGCGGUAAUUC